AAUGUUGGGUUAAGUCCCGCAACGAGCGCAACCCUUAUCCUUUGUUGCCAGCGGUUAGGCCGGGAACUCAAAGGAGACUGCCAGUGAUAAACUGGAGGAAGGUGGGGAUGACGUCAAGUCAUCAUGGCCCUUACGACCAGGGCUACACACGUGCUACAAUGGCGCAUACAAAGAGAAGCGACCUCGCGAGAGCAAGCGGACCUCAUAAAGUGCGUCGUAGUCCGGAUUGGAGUCUGCAACUCGACUCCAUGAAGUCGGAAUCGCUAGUAAUCGUGGAUCAGAAUGCCACGGUGAAUACGUUCCCGGGCCUUGUACACACCGCCCGUCACACCAUGGGAGUGGGUUGCAAAAGAAGUAGGUAGCUUAACCUUCGGGAGGGCGCUUACCACUUUGUGAUUCAUGACUGGGGUGAAGUCGUAACAAGGUAACCGUAGGGGAACCUGCGGUUGGA
rnacentral:rRNA from 1 species